rnacentral:sRNA from 1 species
UCCGUAGGUGAACCUGCGGAAGGAUCAUUAAAACAAUAAUGAAUGUCGGGGGAGGGCGCUUCGGUGCUCUUACCCGUGUAUUCAACCAAACCCGCUCGUGUAUUUGGAUCAAAAAAACAAACAAAAUUUUUAACGAUAAUAAUUUAAACAAACUUUCAACAACGGAUCUCUUGGCUCUCGCAUCGAUGAAGAACGCAGCGAAAUGCGAUAAGUAGUGUGAAUUGCAGAACUUUGUGAACCAUCGAAUCUUUGAACGCAAAUUGCGCCUUCUUUCGGGAGGCAUGUCUGUUUGAGGGCACCAUUUAACAAAUAAUGUGCGCGUCGUUUUUACGAGCGAUGUGCACACGUUGAUGAGCUUUUCCGAAAAAACCAGGUUUUUUUGGUGGCGCAUAAUGAACAGCGUGGGCUUUUUCUUCGAUUCUCGUGUAGUAAAUCUUCAACGCUCGGGUUGAGAAAAAGUGCGUGCCGCGCAAUGGGUGUGGCGAAUUUUACCCCUGCCCCAAUGCCACUCUUUCCCUGCGAAAGAACAUCUUUUAUUCAGGGCCUCAAAUCAGACAAGAGUACCCGCUGAACUUAAGCAUAUCAAUAAGCGGAGGAAAAGAAACUAACAAGGAUUCCCCUAGUAACGGCGAGUGAAGCGGGAACAGCUCAAAUUUUAAAUCUGGCUGCUUUGUAGUCCGAGUUGUAAUUUGAAGGAGUCUUGCCGCUGGCAAAACGAUGGCACAAGUCCUCUGGAACGGGGCAUCGUAGAGGGUGAGAAUCCCGUCUCUGGUCAUCACGCGCUGGCAUACGGCAGGCAUCCGAAGAGUCGAGUUGUUUGGGAUUGCAGCUCCAAAUGGGUGGUAAACUCCAUCUAAGGCUAAAUAUUGGCGAGAGACCGAUAGCGAACAAGUACCGUGAGGGAAAGAUGAAAAGAACUUUGAAAAGAGAGUAAAACAGUACGUGAAAUUGUUGAAAGGGAAACGCUUGAAGU